rnacentral:rRNA from 1 species
ACUCAAAUGAAUUGACGGGGGCCCGCACAAGCGGUGGAGCAUGUGGUUCAAUUCGAUGCAACGCGAAAAACCUUACCUACCCUUGACAUCUAUGGAACUUCACAGAGAUGUGAAGGUGCCUUCGGGAACCAUAAGACAGGUGCUGCAUGGCUGUCGUCAGCUCGUGUCGUGAGAUGUUGGGUUAAGUCCCGUAACGAGCGCAACCCUCGUCUCUAGUUGCCAUCAUUCAGUUGGGCACUCUAGAGAGACUGCCGGUGACAAACCGGAGGAAGGUGGGGAUGACGUCAAGUCCUCAUGGCCCUUAUGGGUAGGGCUACACACGUGCUACAAUGGCGGAUACAAAGGGUUGCCAACGCGCAAGCGGGAGCUAAUCUCAGAAAGUCCGUCGUAGUCCGGAUCGGAGUCUGCAACUCGACUCCGUGAAGUCGGAAUCGCUAGUAAUCGCGGAUCAGCACGCCGCGGUGAAUACGUUCCCGGGCCUUGUACACACCGCCCGU